UAACCUGCCUUAUAGUGGGGGAUAGCCUUUCGAAAGGAAGAUUAAUACCGCAUAAGAUUGUAGUAUCGCAUGAUAUAGCAAUUAAAGGAGCAAUUCGCUAUAAGAUGGACCCGCGUCGCAUUAGCUAGUUGGUGAGGUAAUGGCUCACCAAGGCGACGAUGCGUAGCCGACCUGAGAGGGUGAUCGGCCACAUUGGGACUGAGACACGGUCCAGACUCCUACGGGAGGCAGCAUG
rnacentral:rRNA from 1 species